rnacentral:siRNA from 1 species
AUUGUAACACUCUAGUUGGCCAUC